rnacentral:rRNA from 1 species
UUAAGCGACUAAGCGUACACGGUGGAUGCCCUGGCAGUCAGAGGCGAUGAAGGACGUGCUAAUCUGCGAUAAGCGUCGGUAAGGUGAUAUGAACCGUUAUAACCGGCGAUUUCCGAAUGGGGAAACCCAGUGUGUUUCGACACACUAUCAUUAACUGAAUCCAUAGGUUAAUGAGGCGAACCGGGGGAACUGAAACAUCUAAGUACCCCGAGGAAAAGAAAUCAACCGAGAUUCCCCCAGUAGCGGCGAGCGAACGGGGAGCAGCCCAGAGCCUGAAUCAGUGUGUGUGUUAGUGGAAGCGUCUGGAAAGGCGCGCGAUACAGGGUGACAGCCCCGUACACAAAAAUGCACAUGCUGUGAGCUCGAUGAGUAGGGCGGGACACGUGGUAUCCUGUCUGAAUAUGGGGGGACCAUCCUCCAAGGCUAAAUACUCCUGACUGACCGAUAGUGAACCAGUACCGUGAGGGAAAGGCGAAAAGAACCCCGGCGAGGGGAGUGAAAAAGAACCUGAAACCGUGUACGUACAAGCAGUGGGAGCACGCUUAGGCGUGUGACUGCGUACCUUUUGUAUAAUGGGUCAGCGACUUAUAUUCUGUAGCAAGGUUAACCGAAUAGGGGAGCCGAAGGGAAACCGAGUCUUAACUGGGCGUUAAGUUGCAGGGUAUAGACCCGAAACCCGGUGAUCUAGCCAUGGGCAGGUUGAAGGUUGGGUAACACUAACUGGAGGACCGAACCGACUAAUGUUGAAAAAUUAGCGGAUGACUUGUGGCUGGGGGUGAAAGGCCAAUCAAACCGGGAGAUAGCUGGUUCUCCCCGAAAGCUAUUUAGGUAGCGCCUCGUGAAUUCAUCUCCGGGGGUAGAGCACUGUUUCGGCAAGGGGGUCAUCCCGACUUACCAACCCGAUGCAAACUGCGAAUACCGGAGAAUGUUAUCACGGGAGACACACGGCGGGUGCUAACGUCCGUCGUGAAGAGGGAAACAACCCAGACCGCCAGCUAAGGUCCCAAAGUCAUGGUUAAGUGGGAAACGAUGUGGGAAGGCCCAGACAGCCAGGAUGUUGGCUUAGAAGCAGCCAUCAUUUAAAGAAAGCGUAAUAGCUCACUGGUCGAGUCGGCCUGCGCGGAAGAUGUAACGGGGCUAAACCAUGCACCGAAGCUGCGGCAGCGACGCUUAUGCGUUGUUGGGUAGGGGAGCGUUCUGUAAGCCUGCGAAGGUGUGCUGUGAGGCAUGCUGGAGGUAUCAGAAGUGCGAAUGCUGACAUAAGUAACGAUAAAGCGGGUGAAAAGCCCGCUCGCCGGAAGACCAAGGGUUCCUGUCCAACGUUAAUCGGGGCAGGGUGAGUCGACCCCUAAGGCGAGGCCGAAAGGCGUAGUCGAUGGGAAACAGGUUAAUAUUCCUGUACUUGGUGUUACUGCGAAGGGGGGACGGAGAAGGCUAUGUUGGCCGGGCGACGGUUGUCCCGGUUUAAGCGUGUAGGCUGGUUUUCCAGGCAAAUCCGGAAAAUCAAGGCUGAGGCGUGAUGACGAGGCACUACGGUGCUGAAGCAACAAAUGCCCUGCUUCCAGGAAAAGCCUCUAAGCAUCAGGUAACAUCAAAUCGUACCCCAAACCGACACAGGUGGUCAGGUAGAGAAUACCAAGGCGCUUGAGAGAACUCGGGUGAAGGAACUAGGCAAAAUGGUGCCGUAACUUCGGGAGAAGGCACGCUGAUAUGUAGGUGAAGCGACUUGCUCGUGGAGCUGAAAUCAGUCGAAGAUACCAGCUGGCUGCAACUGUUUAUUAAAAACACAGCACUGUGCAAACACGAAAGUGGACGUAUACGGUGUGACGCCUGCCCGGUGCCGGAAGGUUAAUUGAUGGGGUUAGCGCAAGCGAAGCUCUUGAUCGAAGCCCCGGUAAACGGCGGCCGUAACUAUAACGGUCCUAAGGUAGCGAAAUUCCUUGUCGGGUAAGUUCCGACCUGCACGAAUGGCGUAAUGAUGGCCAGGCUGUCUCCACCCGAGACUCAGUGAAAUUGAACUCGCUGUGAAGAUGCAGUGUACCCGCGGCAAGACGGAAAGACCCCGUGAACCUUUACUAUAGCUUGACACUGAACAUUGAGCCUUGAUGUGUAGGAUAGGUGGGAGGCUUAGAAGUGUGGACGCCAGUCUGCAUGGAGCCGACCUUGAAAUACCACCCUUUAAUGUUUGAUGUUCUAACGUUGACCCGUAAUCCGGGUUGCGGACAGUGUCUGG